UAAAAUUAACAUUUCAAAUUAAUUUUGGCACAAUUCUAAAUUUGAAUUUUUGAAAAUUUAUGCAAUCAGUAUUCUUUUGCUGCAAGAACUUAAACUUUUUCCACCUGCUGAACACUCCCAUUUUAUCUUUCUCAGACCUUUCUCCCCAAUUGUUCCCAACAUAUUAUUUUGUCUCCCAUCUAAUAACCCAGCAAGUACUAUCGUUUUAUUCCCGCCUUUGUGCAUGUACGCCGCCUGAAAUUCGCCUCCGAGACAUGACAAGAACUGUAUGUCCUGCAAGCUCUCAGGGCAGGCUGUUUCUAAUACCUCGUCUGACAUGAGCACUUUAUGGCGUGAUCUCGAGUCAUUUUCAUCAACGUCCAGUCAUGCCUCCGGUCUCAGUAGAGCCCCAUUCCCACUGUCAACGCAGUUUUCGCCCCCCCCCCCCCUUCUCCAAGCUUUCCUGGGAACACUGGCCAGAGCAUUGACCGGCCACUAACCCCGGCCAGGGUCGGCCUAUCCCAAGGCCACGACUCCAGUCCCAGAAAGUACUGCUUAUGCACUCUAGUGGCAGUGUUGCGAAUUAUUUCCCCUGGCGCCUUGUGCUACAAAAAGUACCCCGUAGUUCAUUCCCAGGUCACCAGAGUGCUGGACUAGUCCCGUCCAUAAGAUUAAAGUUUUAGCAGUCACCUCGUGUGAGUCGAUCACUCUUUGGUUCGGUCACCCCUCAGUAUGUCGCGCUGACAUCGGCCAGUAACACCAACUUCGAGAUAUCGAAGUCAGUAUUUCUUGACAUGCUCCUCGAUAAUCUUCGGAACCUUUCGGUCUGAAAGACGAGGCCUCCCCCCCCCCCUUUUCUUUUGAUUGCCAUCAUCUUUUAAUUACGAGUCGCUGCCAUCCAAAACGAACUUCGCACCGCGAUUUCAGGUGGACCACACCGCAUCGUCGACAUUGAGACUUCACUCCAUGCGUCGUUUAAAGAUGUAAUCAGCUAAGCAAGUGAUGUGAUUCCCACAACUUUAGUAAUUACUAAUUAGUCAUUCUGCGUACCUCUUAGAAGUAGUCAUGCUUCGUUUAUAAUACUGCUUAAUAUUUUCUACUUUUUUUUACAUGGAAACGUCCGCGACAACCGCGAGUUCGCGAGAUCCACAUCUUGGCUGAUAAUGGAAGCCAUCUCCCUGUAUGACAGGGUCCGAGGGCCGGACAGGUUCCAAGGGUCGUAUGAGGUUCCAAGGGCCUGAUACGGAACUGACCACUCCACCCUCGAGUCCUUCCUCCGGCAAUGGGGACGACUAAGGCGCCCUGACGCCUCGUUAGCAGCACAACUUCGGCCAGCCAUCGUCAAACUUCCAGUUCUUAAGUUGUUUUUUUUUGCAUCUUCAGAAUAAUAUUAAAUCACGACGUUGAAGAGAUCUGAUCACCAUAAAAAUUUUCUUUCGGGACUUUAUUCGGUCUAAGUGUGCUUAUUGUGAAAGCAACUUAACUGGUUUAUUGUUGUGAAUUUCAUUUAAAUUGUGUUAAUUAUCAAUGUAAUUGUCUAAUAAGGACCGGCCCAUUCUUUAGAUAAUGUAAUGUUGUUUGUAAUGUUAAUGUAAUUACAAAAUAUAAUAAUACAUUUGUCAAUCAAUUUAUAAAAUAUCACCUUACUGUGAAAAUAAUCAAAUGUUAAAUAAACAUAGAGGUACUUAUA